CCACAGGGCAGCCGUGGGGCUCCGAGCCCCGCAGCCCGCGGGCCCGCCCGCCCCGCCCGGGUGGAGCCGUGCCCCGCCCCGCCGCGGGAGGAGGAUGAGGCGGCGGCGGCGGCGGCCCCGGCCGAGGCGGCUGCCCCAUGGCGGAGGAUGUUGACUUGAAAUCAUGUCGGGGAGCUUUAGAUGACUGCUGUCCACCUCCAGGAGAGGAUCAGCUGAAACUGCAAGAAGAAGAGGAGAAAGACAAAAAUCAAAGCAACAGCAACCAUGUAGAUUCCCUUCUCUCCUUGGAGGGCUAUUUACAGCUUCUGUCAUCACAGGUGGAGAACAUGCUAGAGGUGAACUUACUGGAAGAUACACAAAUUGCUACCUCUAGUAGAGGCCAAGACCCAUCAUCCUCACACCACAAUAUAAACUUGACCCAGACACUUCAGAACAGUUUCAGUCCUCCUGAUGCCAUGCUACUAAGAACAGACUACCCCACUCCAUUAAAUCCAAAACCAAGACACUUACAAAGGCAAGAGUUUUUCCCUCAAUCAAACUCUGGUAUCACAAAUCCAGAAUCACAAUUUCAUGGGUCAAAUUUGACAGGGCUGUUUUCGGCUGCUGACCUUAGAAAUCUAACAGCCCAUGAUGAUAAUUUUGAUGAAAUUAAGCUCAUGUCUUUGGCUUUAGAAGAAGGCUUUAGUCCUAUAGAAGUUUCUCAGAUCUUUGAAGAGCCUGGCUCAGAUUCGGGACUACCUUUGAAUUCAAAUCACAGCACCACCUCCUAUUCAGUCUGCUGUGAAGAUUCUGUUGGGUACAGCUACAGCAGCGGUGUUAAAUCUGCUCCUUCGCACAGCUUAGGAGCUGUUGCUGGCCACUGCCAAGAAAACAUUAAGCACAGCCAUGUGGAAUAUCCAGGUGUUGCACAGGGUCCUACAGAAGCCAUGCUUCAGCAGUUUCUUCAUAAUCACACUUACAAUCAGCUGCCAAGUCAAGCAGCAUUCACUCCAGAGCAUCAUCAACAGAUGUGGAUGAAGAAAUCAAACGAAGUAAAGGAGAGGUACCACAAUUCUACUGCUACAAACCGGAGCAGAGAUGAAUGGCGUGCAAAAGCUCUGAGAAUACCAUUUUCAGUCGAGGAAAUUGUGAGCAUGUCUGUUGACUCUUUCAACACCAUGCUGGCAAAGAACCAGCUGACAGAAACUCAGGUAUCACUUCUACGUGACAUCAGACGAAGAGGAAAAAACAAGGUAGCUGCCCAGAAAUGUCGUAAACGCAAACUGAAUGCAAUUCUUAACUUGGAAGAAGAUGUGUGUAAUCUCCAAACACAAAAGGAGAGCCUUAAAAAGGAGCACUCUCAGUGUAGCAAAUUAAUCAACCAGAUAAAGCAAAAAUUAAACAACUUGUACCAUGACAUUUUCAGCAGACUGAGGGAUGACCAGGGUAGACCUGUCAACCCAUGCCAGUAUGUCAUUCACUGCAGUAGCAAUGGUAGCGUUUUCAUAAUACCCAAGCACUUGGCCAAAUCUGAACAGAAACAAGAUAACAGAAAAGAGCAGAAACAAAAGUAAGAUGACUGGAGAUCACCUAAAUCACCUUCAUUUUGUCUGAAAGGAUGAUAAGAGUAUAUGUGUGACAACUACAGGUCAUUGAUUACAGCAGUUCAAACAGAAACUACACUUGAGGAGAAUCACUCUAUGUUCAAGGGUCUGGCAAACCCAACCAGCUGUGAUCUGUUAGAAGGUCCAUGAGCUGAGGCUUCUGGAUGAGGAAAUCUGUUUAGUUUUAGUUGGAAUUAAAGGAGCUAGACCAUCAGUGUAAUGUAGCUUCAUAGACCUAUUUUAAAACUAGGAAUUUAGUUACUGGCAAUGGGGGGCAGAGGGAAGAACAUCAGUGAGGGAUAAAAGUAAACUUUUUGAAUCAAUGUUAAACAUGCAAGAAAAUGUUUUAAUCUUGAAUACUUGACUUUUUAUACAGAAAAUGACCUUAUUUUAUUGUCUACCAUGAAAGAAAAAUUACAGUUCUAGUGCAUUUUCAACUUAAACUCACUGUGCAUUUACAUAGGCUCAAGAGAUAACUGCAUGCUUUGCAUUUAUUCAGAACAGCUCUGCUUUUCCUAGUAUUCCUUUGAGGAGAGCAGCCCAGGAGGCUACUGCAUUUUUCCUCAGUACUUUCAGCAUCAUAACUCCCAAGUAAAGAUAAUAUGCCACUUAAUUUUACAACUCAUACACUCAAUCUGCAAACAUGCUGAAAAAGUGUCUGAUUCAGUGUUUUCUUACCUUUAUUUUCUCUGCAACUAAAUCAUUCUCAAUUUUCUUCCACAAAAAUGACCAGUGAUGAAGGAGUAUCUGUUCUGUUUCCUAGUGACUGUGAUAUUUAUUUGUGUACCUUCUCUUUUCUUCCUAUUUUGACCUUCCUCAAGAAGUACUUGAGUUUUUUUCUGCGGCAUUUCUAACUGAUAUUUUUUAAGUGUCUUUAAUGUUUCAGAUUUAAAUUUUUAAAAUACACAUUUUACUUAGCCUUUAAAUUAAGUUGAACCAAAUUACUGUUUAUCUGUACUAGUAAUUAUGAGGUUACACUCUGAUAGUGCUCCAAAUGAAGUUCUUUGGUUUUGAAAUUUAUUUGUGCUAUUAGAAGUUUUAGUCGCUUACAUACUUACAACAUCCCAUCCUUUACUGUUUUACAGCCUGAAAAAGGUCUGCAAGAGAGAUGGCCUAAAAGGCCUGUAAUGAAUGAUAACAGAGGAAUGUUGAGGUAUAUUAUGAAAGUAACUACAAAUAUUAAUUUCUAGAAAACAAAUACUUCUUGUUAAUUUUUUAACUAAAACACAUAAAACUGGUAUUUAAAAAGUUCUCAUUGGUCAUGGCAUGAUGACAAUGGAGCAAAUUUACAUUCAGGUGUGUUAAAAAAAUCACUUGUACCAGCCAACUACAUAUACAAGCUUAAAUGCCUAUUUAUACCUGCUGAAGAAAUCAACUGCCACUAGCAUGGAAGUCACAUUGGCUGCUUGCAUUUAUCUGUAACAAACUGAUACUGUCAAGUGACAUUUUCUAAAAAGGGAGCCGUAAGAUAGUGCCAAGUGCACUGAAUUAUCCAUAAUGAAAUCAGACUGAACAAUUUUCUCAACAUUUUCUAUUAAAAUAUUUCUUUAAAUAUUUGUAUGCAUGUGUUCUUUAUUGGUUUCACCACAGUCUCAAAUUGGUAAGUGUAAAUUCAUAGCAGAAAGUCUCAUUACUGAGGCUAUGCAAUUUUUUGCUCUUGGUUAAGCAUCAGUGUGAAACACGUCUAUCCUAACUGGUAUUCACAUGGGAUUUGUCUACUGGCUGCAUCACCAACCAAAACAUGCUAUAGGUGUCAGAUACAUAUGAUGAAUCAUUAAUUUUAUUUCUAGUUGUAGGGGGAAAAAGUACAGCUUUAAGUCAGCAUUAUCAUAAUCAAUUAAAUGACAUGAACAUUUUUAAAUCCACGUACUUACCCUUUGCAGGACAAGGUCUUUAAAUCUACUUCACUGCCCAUGUGCAUAAAUUCUGAUAGCUACUACAUUAGGCUCACAACUGAGAAAUCCAGAAAGCCAAGUAUUUCUGCUUUAGGGCCUCACACGGGGAGGAAAAAUAAAAGCCUAAAUUUUCUGGUGCACACUCCUUCAGUAGCAGUGGCAGGUGAGCUCUGUGGAUUUUUGUAAGGCCAGCUGCUAAUGGACAAUUGCACAUACCCAAUUGGGAAACAGCUACACAGGUAAAUUUUGCUACAUGCCAAAAAUAAAGCAUACUGUAACCCUUCACGAACACAAUGCUAAUGGAAAACAGCUUAUUCCAAUGGAUCCAUUAAAGGCAUCAGCCCCAAUACCACUCCAUUCCCUGUAAAUGUGCAGGUUGUAAAGGAUUGUGAACUGCCCUCAGCUAAUUCAACUGCCAUUAUUGCCCAGUAACUAUUUCUUGAACAUUGAUGGAAGAGCCUCAGUUCCUCAGAACCCAACAAGCAACUCUACUCCUACAAAAGACUGAGCUGAAAUACUGAUUUUGGGUGGACAGCAACAGUACUGACGAUACAAUGAACUUUGUCUGGAUGUGUUUUUUAAACCACCAGCUACCUGCCUGCAGGACAAAACCAUAGGUAGAAUUCAGACCAAUGUCCCGUUUCUAAUUAGAGCAGACUCAUUUGAAGUGUCUUCCCUUUCUACAAGUAGCCUGUGUUUAAAGAAAAAUUCCAAACAGACAUAUACACAUACACAAAAUCCACACCGAACAAAAAUUCCCAAACAGGGCCUGAUUUUGGCUAUGCUUUAUAGUUCCAUGUCCUUAAGUGAUGUGUGGUUAGGCUAGACAGCUGAAGCUCUUAAUGCACUUUUUGUACUGGCCUUAGACCAUAUUUGCAAUCUCUGUACCAAAAUAGACACAGUAUAAAAUUGAGCUUUUCAGGUAAACAGGACUGAUCAAAGUUGUUGCUGAAAGGGUUGUAAAACGUGGGUAACACCUGACUGAAGCCUGUCUUGUCUUUAUUAUUGAUAGAUCAAGAUUUUCACAAAAUCAAAAUCCCAAGUGUAUAAACCAUGAGCUUUAUUGCGUGGAAAGACACGAUGUGAUAUCAGACCUACUCUGGACCCAGAUGACACAAGGACAUUACAGCUGCAUCCUACCUUACUACUACUCUGUUGAAACACAAGCCUGUGAAGUUAGACUGAAAACACUUUUUAAAUAUAACUAGGAAACCACUAAGCUAAUGAUUGUAAAUAUAGCUGUUGACAACAGCAACAAAAACCAGAAAUACCCAAGUGGGGAUGAUCAUUAAAAUACUGGUCCCAUAGCAAAGCUUUUAAGUAGUCUGUAACAGUCAGUGGUAAACUACAUUUCUGUUAUGUUAGAAAGAGCUUAUCUGCAAGGUUAGGAAAGGUCAGAUUAAGAAAAAGGAAAAACACUGGGUGGACUGUAUUCCCAUUAUUGAUGGCAGCAACAUGUUCUCUGAAGCAUUACCUGCUGGCUGCUCCAAGAUUCACACCUGGUUCUGGAGGAACAUCCACCAGCAGCAAAGGCAAGCAGAGUACUCCCAUCCAACAGCAAGCGCCAGUGCCUGCUUUGUGCCCUGCACGGCUGGACACGCCCAGAGCCAUCCUGCCACCAAGCGCUCCCAGAACAGACACAGCUUUCUGCUGAACCCUACACGCACCUUAAAUGACCACUACGGUACUGCACUGAAGUGCAGCUUUAAAUUCAGGGUUUAGGUUUUAUUCAGUAGAUUCGGCUUUUUACAGUGCCAAAUUUUACAAGCUAAAGAUGUUCCUGCUCAAGAGCUUACAAUCUAGUUUUAGAUGGGGAAAGCGGAACAAACUUCAAUGAGAGAAAGAACUGACAAAGCAUUUCACGAGUAUCAACUUGUUAAUCUUUGUCCCAAAACACACACACACACAUUAGUUCAUCCUCUGGGAGUCAGAAGUACAGUUCUAAGAAUCUUGAGGACAGAGGUGAUCAGAGACCUAUAAAUAAGGCAACAGGACACAGCACCAGGGUGUAGUGAGAAACUGUUUAUUAAUUAAACCAAAUAGAGAUGGCAGAUGUAACCAUGUGAUGUCUUAUUACUGUAGUGCAUACCUCAUGAAGUACUGCAACUUGACACCUGCUACACAGCUACUAGAACUCAGUGAAGUCCUCCAGCCACCCAUUUUCAUACAAGAAUGCCCCAAAAUUAACCUAACAAGGGGGGAGGGAAGAGCGCUGGUAACAGCCAUUUUCUUGGGACUUUCCCCCAGUCACCUUUUUCGUACAAUGAAGCAGCAUGGGAGGUCUCACAAGCUAGUCUGUGACUACAAGAUGCCCAAACACUGUUAACCCAAUGUUCAUAGCACUCUGUCAGGCAAGUCACACAGGUAUUAUUUAUACAAUGGUAAUUUUACUGCUAUGAACAAACCAGUUCUUGCUCCAUUAACUGGAAUAAGUCCUGACAAAAUUUCUGUACAACACAAGCCAACAGUAGCUGCAAAGCAAAAACAUGACUAGUAAAAGGGACAGUACUUCUGGCAAAAUGGAUUAUUACCCAGGCAAACCCUUCCAUGUAACACUCCUAUGCAUUCCUAGACACACUGAAUGGUAUGGCUGAAUAAACAUGGCUGAAGAGAAACAGCAAUCUCCCUUACAUCAAAAAGCAACAGCACUACUAUAGUAGUGUUCACUUGCAUCACACACUACUUCAAAAACCAAAUGGAACACUGAACCUACAGGGAAUGCACAGCCCCAGUAUGUUCCCAACAAAUUAUCCUCUACCAAUGAGGCAAAGCUGCCAAAAACAAACUCAGUUGACAACUGUUUGAAAAUUCAGAUUCAUUUCUGGCGCUUGGGUUUUCUUCCCCAGAAUCAACAUGACUUCAUCACCAAGAGAUCAUGUACAUUCAUCAUCCAUCUAAAAGAACAUUUUCCUACACGUGACAAAGUUCAAGUCCUGUUCAUUUUACAGUAUUAACAGCAAUUGUUCGAAUUUUCUUGAAUGUUUUCUAGCACCCGCAGCAAAAUAGAAGAAAAAAAUUCAACUUUCGUUGUUUGUAACACAAAAUCUGAGUGGCCAGAAGCCUACUGCUGACCUCUUUUCCCCAUCACUUCAUAAAACAAGUCAUACUCGAUUUUUGGGUGUUCUUUGGCUCACAUACUAGUUAGCAACAAGUUACAUUGUUUUUCUUUCUUCCCUCAGUUGGCUGCACAGAGUGUUUGCUGGGGGAAAGCUGGACAACCUGACAGCCUGAUCCUCAGCUGUUAGUACCUGGAAACACUGCAAUGUUACACUUACUUGGAAGACAAAAAUCUGUAGUGACAAAAUCCCACUUGACAGAAAGUAAGAAUCCAUUGUCUACAAAUUGAUGACCAGUAACAGACCACACAAUAAUGCUUUUAUUUGAAGUUGCUAACUUCCAGUAUCAGGUUGACUCAAAAUUGUGACUUCUCUCACCACAUUUGCUGGUGACCACUGCUGACUGUCACGUGCCUUAACUUUUAAGACCAUACCAAGAGAAAAGUCAUGGGAGCUCAACAGAAGGACAUCAGGAAACUUAAAGACACCAGGUUUUCAAGACUUGAAAUAUCCAGUGAUUUAAUUCUUGCACAGUGCUGUUCCCUCUGUAUGCUCCCUUCCCCCACUGCCAUCAGAUCAAAAUGAGAACAUCCUCCUUAUGGAAAACAUACUCAAUGCAAGUAAAUUUUAAACCUUGUUACUACACUACUGAAAUAGUAUUUGAAACAGAAAAAUAAUUACUGCCCUUUGAAGUGGUUUGGUUAGUUUUCUUAAAACGGUGUAUGAAUGUAGACUUGGCAACUGUAAAGAAAAAACUUCCAUCAACUACAUCUAAGUUAUAGGAAAGAAGGCAAAUUCCUUAUGACCUGGUCAGUCAUUCUGUUGGAAAGAAGAAAGUAAAGCAGAUUUGUGCGUCUUCCAUUGCAGGCCACCGGUUACCUAUUCAAGUAUUUCAAAGUUCAACUUGAGAAACAGAAAAAAAUGGUAUGUGAAUCCUUAAACAGUAUUAUAAAGGUUAAAGACAUGAUGAUUCUGCCAAAGCAUACACAUUUCAAGUUUUGAAUGAACCAUGCAUGAAGGUAAGUGGUUAAAACAGUAUAACCUCAAGAUACCUCCCCUUAAAUACACUCCCAACUGAAGCUUUCUCAAACUCACACUUGGUGUUUAAUGGUUUUGUUUGGUUUGGUGUUUUUUGUUUUGGUAUUUUCCUUCCACCUCCAGAUGCAGCUAUGGAUAAUAGUUUUGUACAGCUGGAACUCUACAUUCCAGUCAGUCUGUCUGUCUUCAUGCUAAAAGCUCUUUCAAAAUGGAAAGGAUAAAGCUCUUGUCCUAUUGCAAUCUGACAAACUGACUUAGGUUGUAGUUUUGUUAACAGCGAAGUAUGCGGUAAUAUAAAACACAGCCAAAAAAGCUAGUUUUAAGCACUUGUGUCCAACAGCAAAGACAUCAGCACUUUUCAAUUUGCAGCACUGUUUCUCCCAAAAGAGAACAGAUGCCCAAGGUCAGAGAAACAAGUUCCAUGAACACACUUGUUGAACUGAUUCUGUUUUAAAUUCACCUCAAAAUGGAAUGUUCCAGAUCAUGAAAGGGUCUAAACAUAAACAUUAUCUAAUGUUAGAUACACACUAAGUUUUUAUUAAGCAUUACACUAGAACUACUUUGGUAUAAAAAUACUUUAUUUUAAAGCUAUGAAAGUUAUAAAUAGAUGUAGUUAAACUUUCUACUCACAGAAUGUUUGCUAUUUUAACAUUAGUGAUUUGUUUCUCCUAACGAAUCUGAAUUUUAUUCGAAAGGUUUACAAGACAUUAUUACUGUAAUUUUUUAAAAAACCCAUCAUUACAGGGAGCUGUACUAAUUGUGAUGUUUUAUCAGUAUUCAUUUAACCUCUAGAUUUUUAAUGAAGGCAGCAAAAACAACUAUUUUCUGAUGAUACAGAAUUUCUUAUUUCUUGAAGCGUUUCUGUGGUUGACCACUUCUUCAUUAGUUACCUGCAGCAUGGCACCUUCCUGCCAAAGAAAAAAAAAGUGUAUCUGAAGAUGUUUAUCACAUAUGUCUAAACCAAAUUACCAAUAGGGGAACUUCAGCCAUUUUUAAAAAAAAAA